rnacentral:lncRNA from 1 species
GCGGCGGGCAUGGCCCCGGUGUCGAGGGGAGAACCUACCGUGAGGCCUGGGUGCUUCUGACGGCAUGAAGUCAUGGGCAGAUGGACAGUGGCUGGGGGGCUUUGGGGGAAAAGGAGUUGAAGGCAGUUCUUUCUCGUAGUUUGGAGCUUGCUGGCUCUGCGAACCCUGUGGAUAUACUUGUGCUGUAAUCUACAACAGUGCUUUCUUCGAAAGGAGGGAGUCGUUUUGGUGGGCUGGAGGCAGCUGGAAAAAUCGGUACCCGUCUUGUUUUAUGUGCUGCGACUCAAAGGCUCUUCUGCUUUAUUCACCCUUAAUAUACAUGGAAGAGUCUCUAAAGUGAAUCUCUAUCGGAAAGACAAAGAUCUGAAAGAAGUUUUGCUUUUGUACUACAUUCAAGGUGUAGUUCGACACGUAUUGUGAUACUUGCAUAGUGACAAAACUAAUACAGUUUUUACUCAAUAGAAAUAUCCGAAAGUUCAGCGUUGAAAUAUAUGUUGCAAAUUGAGAGUUUAAACUGUAUUGAUCAAAAGUGAAUCCAAGUAAUUUGUUGUGGAACUGAAGGUGCAGUAUGAAUUGGACAAAACUUUUGAGUAUUUAGGCUUGAAAGUUGCCAAAUGGCUGCUCUGUGCCAAGUACUCCUCUGUUUAGAUGACAAGUGAAGCAGUUCAGAUAGCCUCAAUGCAGACACCUGAAAAAGAUACCAUGUGUCCAGGCAACGAUACUGGAGCCUGCUGCCAGAAAAAAAGGUAAUGGAAAUUUGCUUCACUCUGCAGUUCCUAGACAUAGUAAUUUUUUUGAUUAGACUUCAGGCUUUUU